rnacentral:rRNA from 1 species
CAUUUGUCUUUUAAAUGAAGACUUGUAUGAACGGCAAAACCUCCUCCAACUGUCUCCCCUCCCAUCCUUCCAAAUUUCCUCCUGUGUGAAGAAGCGCAGAUACACCAGAAAGACGAGAAGACCCUGUCGAGCUUUAACCACUAAGUGGGCCUUACCCUUUCAGGCACCACCCAAAGGUUUUGGUUGGGGCAACCACGGAGAAAAAACAUCCUCCAGAACGAAUAGAAGAAAGCUUUUCACUAUUAUUACAAUUAAGAACCAGGAACUGGUAUUCGGAAAGAGUUACCGCAGGGAUAACAGCGUCAUCUCCUCUAAGAGUCCUUAUUGACGAGAAGGUUUGCGACCUCGAUGUUGGAUUGGGGCCCCCUUAGGGUGCAGAAGCUCUAAACGGUUAGACUGUUCGUCUAUUAAAGCCCUACAUGAUCUGAGUUCNAAACCGGAGAU